CAGCCGCCGCGGUAACACGGAGGGUGCAAGCGUUAAUCGGAAUUACUGGGCGUAAAGCGUGCGCAGGCGGUUGUGUAGGACAGGUGUGAAAUCCCCGGGCUUAACCUGGGAACUGCCCUUGUGACUGCACAGCUAGAGUAUGGCAGAGGGGGGUGGAAUUCCACGUGUAGCAGUGAAAUGCGUAGAGAUGUGGAGGAACACCGAUGGCGAAGGCAGCCCCCUGGGCCAAUACUGACGCUCAUGCACGAAAGCGUGGGGAGCAAACAGGAUUAGAUACCCGCGUAGUCCCUGUCUCUUAUAC
rnacentral:rRNA from 1 species